CUGGUCUUGCUGCAGCUGUCA
rnacentral:misc_RNA from 1 species